rnacentral:rRNA from 1 species
AAGACCUUGUGCUUUUGGAGCGGCCGAUGCCUGAUUAGCUUGUUGGUAAGGUAAAAGCUUACCAAGGCUUCGAUCAGUAGCUGGUCUGAGAGGACGACCAGCCACACUGGGACUGAGACACGGCCCAGACUCCUACGGGAGGCAGCAGUGGGGAAUUUUGGACAAUGGGCGCAAGCCUGAUCCAGCCAUGCCGCGUGAGUGAAGAAGGCCUUCGGGUUGUAAAGCUCUUUCAGUCGGGAAGAAAAGGUUGCGACUAAUAAUCGUGAUCAAUGACGGUACCGGAAGAAGAAGCACCGGCUAACUACGUGCCAGCAGCCGCGGUAAUACGUAGGGUGCGAGCGUUAAUCGGAAUUACUGGGCGUAAAGCGUGCGCAGGUGGUUUUGUAAGUCAGAUGUGAAAGCCCCGGGCUCAACCUGGGAACU